GCAUCCCUUGGCCUCCCUUCUUGGAGUUCCAGGGCGCCGCCGAGGGUCCCUCUCCCUCUGCAACUCCCUCCAUUUUCCAGAUUUGCUAAAGUGACCCCCACCUACACAGCGGGGAGCGCAUGAACCCCUCCCUCUGGCCUCUGACCACAUCGGUGGUCUCAGCAACUGCGCUCACCAGGGCUUCUUUCUAGCACAGCCCUGUAGAUAAGCCUCUGGGGACCCUUCUGUCACCCUGCUGGGAGCUUUCAGGCUGUCUCCAGCUCUCUCCUCUUUCUUCCCUCCUCUCUCACCCUUUGUGCCCGGGGUGACCUCAAUUCCUGAAAUUCUGGGAGAGAUAAGGAAGCGGAUUGCUUUGACCUCAGAAAGAUCCAACGUUGGGGUGUGGCAAGGCCAGUUUUCCCCCAAGAGGUUAAACCCUCAGAGCUUUAGGUGGCAGGCAGAUAGAUGGGGCCUGAGGGCAUCUGGGCACCUGGCCAGACUGAAGGGCCUACAGACUGGUCUAGGGGCAGCCAGACUCUAAGUUUAAAAGCAAACCAAUGAACCCCAUAACCCACCUGGCUGUUAACACAAACUAAAUUUAGGAGCUGGAUUAGUUCAAGACCCCAGGAUAAUCUGCCAGAUCUGAAGCCUGGGCUGAAUUCCUCCCAAUCCUGCCCAGGUUCAAGGGGAAAGAAGGGUCCCGGACCCCCCCAGUCCAAGCGACUCCUACCAGCCCUUACCUUCCGGGAGUUUCCCCAGCCAAACUCCUCCAGCUGCUGCCUGAAGCCUGGGUUGGGGUUGGCGAUGGGCCGGGUGGCCUUGAUGGCUUCAAGCACUUCCCUCCAGCCCAGCCCCGUCACCGUCAUCACAUAUGCUGUCACAAUGGUGGUACUGCGGGAGAUGCCUGCAAAGCUGGGGUCCCCAGCAGCCCCCAGGCUUCAGGUCCUGGGGAUACAGGGAGGGAAUAAAAGAGCAAUGGUCUCUGCUGUCCUGGAGCUCAAUGUCAAAACUGAAUCUCAGGGAGAAACAACUGCUGGGCUACGACCACAGGGCUGGUAAAGAACAGGACCCUGACUUGAGCCUGUGGUGGCUCCUCUGGAUGAAUGGCGGACUGUGGGUGUUGUGGCCCAUGGGAUGGCUGUGUGUUGGGGAUGGAGGACAGCCACCAGCUCCCCCUCAACUCACCAGUGCACAAGGCAGUUCCCCCCAUUGAGCCGGCAACAGUGGAUGAAGCUGAUACAUUCUUUGAAGUGCUUUUUGCUGGAGAAGAGAGGACAGAGGAGCCAGUAUGGGGCGUUUCCCCGGGAGCCCUUUCCUCAUGGGACUAGCAAGGGACAAGGAGCCCUGGGCGCUCAGGGCAGCCAGCGUUUGCAGGGAGCAGGGGGAGGUGUGGGAGGCAGCCGUGGUGGCAGGCCAGGCUGGGAGGGGCCGCCAUCCCGCAGAGCAUCCCUGCAGGGUCCUGGGGUCGGGUUUUGGCCUUUCAAGGAAAUAGGAGGAGACCCUGGGGUCCCACUUCUCAGGGGUCUUUCAAGAGUGGGACCUUGGGGUCUCCUCCUACCUAUGUCCUUGAAAGGCCACACAUAAGAACAUCUAGGAACAAUGACAGUCAGCCGUGGGCUGGGAGCAGAAUUCCCCAUGGGGCAGAAGUUUAGCCUGGGUCCAUCCCGAGUUGAAGGGCACGGAUGCGAAAAACCCCAGCAAAAUGUCUGUUUUCCUGAGCCCCCACUACACAAUAGGUCCUGUCCUAGAUCCUUAAGGCAUGUCAUCAGACCUUUGAAAGCCUCCUUGCCUCUGGUCAGAACCCUGUUUUACAGAUGAGGCUCAGAGAUGGGAAAUGAUUUGUCCAAGGUCACACAGCAGUAAAUGGCAAAGGCUGGCUGGAACCCAGAUGUCUUAACUCCAAGGCCAAGAACAGGCUGAGCCUCACCUUCUGGAAUCUACUGGUGCACCUGAUCCCUAGAGGCAGGGAACUGUCCCCAUCUCAUUGCUGAGGAGACUGAGGCUCAGGAAAGAGGGAUGGGGACCUACCACAAGAGCAUGGUUGAGACAGAGUCAAACUUGGGUAGAGGUGCCCUGUGACAGCUAUCUGGCUUGAAUAUUCUCUGUCCUUCCUCAGGCCUCCCUCCCCCACUGCAGGAGGUAGCUCUGUUGGUCCAUUCAGGGAAACUUACAUGGGUACUUCAGGGGUGUCAGCCACCGGGAUGCGAAGGUAGGUGAUAUCCUGCAAAGACAAAGCACACCUGGAAUCCCAGCGACUCUGAAGCUGAGGUGCAGAAACACAAGUUUGAGGCCAGCCUGGGCUAUUUAGCAAGGCUCUUUCUCAGUAUAGGUUUUUUUGUUUGUUUUAAAGGGCUGGGGGUGUACCUCAUUGGCAGAGUCCCCCUAGGUUCAAUCCCCAAUAGCACAUAAACAAGCAAAAACCCACACUAAGGGAGUGGGGACCUUGCCUGCACCCCCUUUCCUUGGCCUGAGCAACCCAAGUGCUGUGUGACCCCAGCCCAGUUCCUGCCUCUCUCUGGGCCACUCUUCUCUUUCUGUCCAAAGAAAGUAGAUACCAUUUCUGUGAGCCUCCCAACUCUGUCUGUGAUUCAGAGCUUUCUGAGCAGACAGUGCCCUAACUUCAUAGGUGACUUGGACAUGAGGACUUGAUAAGAAGGACUUGGCAAAUCUUUUAUCCAAUAGCCUGGGAAAGUGUCUCCCCUGCAAGUGGAGAUUGCAAAAUGACAUAGUAAAAAGGGCAAAGCAGAUUUGUUUAUCUUGAAAAGACGUAAAAAUUAUAAAACCAAAUUUACAUAAUAGUCAAGGAAUAAACUGUGGGUAAUUUUUCCAACACAUUUGCUGUGAUGCCCUUUGCUUCAUGCUUAUUAAUUUCCACAUAAUUUUGUCAAGAUUAUUUCUGCUCACAUCCUGAGGACCUCAUUGCUUUUCUUGAGGACCUCCUUUGAUACUUUGAUGUUUAAGUGGCCCACCACUAGGCCCUCAUUUGCCCAGGGCUUUGUGUGAAGUCUUAGCCCUUCUCUACCCAGCUCACAUUCCCCAAGGUCGUGAAACCCUGCAUCUUUUGCAAGGUUUGCAAUUUCACUUUGCAAAACAUUUGGCCUUGGGUUUGCAUGGUAUUAUCAAACUCUGCUCAAUUCACUGGUGCCUGGGAUGGAGACAGGCUAGUGACAGGAGGGAGGGCCGCUGGGGCACAGGCUAAUUUUUGUAAGCAGUCACCUCACAGGUAAAUAAAUUAAUGACCUGACAACCCUCCCUGUGCAGUCUAUUUAGACUGCAUAUUCUCAAUACUCUAAAACGAGGCUGCCCUAUCCAGCAAACUCACACUCCCAAUGGCCUGGAAAUUUCUUCUUUGACACUGAAAGUCAUAGAUUAUUGGAGGUUGCCCUUAGAGACUAUCAAAUCUGUCACAUGAAAACCUGGAGGCCUGGGGCUGGGGUGUAGGUCAGGAGAAGAGCACUUGCAUAGUAUGUCUGGGCCCUGGGCUUGACCCCCAGCACCUCAAAAAAGGACCCCAAAUUGAAUAAACUGAGCCCAGAGAGGGAAAGGACCCUACCCCACAUAGCACAUCUGUGGCAGAACAGAUUUUCUUUUUUGGUAAUAGGGAUGGAAUCCAGGCCGCUUUACCACUGAGUCACGUCCCCAGCUCCCCAGCAUUUUGUUGUUGUUGUGGUGGUGGUGGUGCUGGGGAUUGAACCCAGGGCCUUGUGCAUGCAAGGCAAGCACUCCACCAACUGAGCUAUACCCCCAGCCCCUCCAGCUCUCCUUUUUUAUGUUUUAUUUUGAGACAGGGUCUCACUAUGUUGCUUAGGGCUUGGCUAAGUUGCUGAGGCUAGUUUUGAACUUGAGAUCUCCCUGCCUCAGCCUCCCAAGCCGCUGGGAUUACAGGCAUGUGCCACCACGCCUGGUGACACAGACUUAUAAACAGAGGAGGAGGCUCUGUUUAUGUGAUAGGAAUAUUUUUGGGGGCUGGGGAUGUGGCUCAAGUGGUAGCGCGCUCGCCUGGCAUGCGUGCGGCCCGGGUGCGAUCCUCAGCACCACAUACAAAGUUGUUGUAUCUGCCAAAAACUAAAAAAUAAAUAUUAAAAAUUC